rnacentral:piRNA from 1 species
UAAAAGUUCUAGACUGUGUUCCUCCUGUG